CUAGCUCACAAGCCAAACACCUCCAAGUAGCCAAGACCUAGCACACUCUUCAUCAGAACACUUCUUUAGGUUCUUUCUGUUCAUCGAGUCGAAUCCUCGUCAUCAUGGCCCCUGUAACGGCCCCAGCUGAUACCCAACGCACAGCUUAUCUGAAAGGCGAGCCCAAAGCACUGGGGACUGUGCAGAUUAUAAUCGGAAUCAUAACUUUACUGUUCGGUAUUGUUUUAGCCUUCUUCAGUGGCUGGAUUUCCUGUAUCGCUCUGUGUGAAUCACUUGUUUUCAUAAGCUCUGGUGCUCUGUCAGUCGCUUCAGCGACCCAACAAAAUCCCUGCAUGGUAUGUAAACAUGGCUUACUAAUAACUUCACUUCCUUCUGUUUUUCAUUUUAAAGUAGAACCUCCCUUGUUUUAGGAAAAAAUAAAAUAAAGUGAAUAAAGAAAAAAUGAUCUGGAACUGCACUGUAGCAGCUGCUGUUCGUGGUGUAGCAUGAGGAAAUCAUAAACCACUUCCUGAGAAAUCUUUUAUAUACAUGUAGACUUACAUUGUAGACUUACAAAAAAAAGUUACUUUUUUUUUAAUGUUUUAAUUUUUUUU